rnacentral:rRNA from 1 species
GAUGAACGCUGGCGGCGUGCCUAAUACAUGCAAGUCGAGCGAACAGAUGAGGAGCUUGCUCCUCUGACGUUAGCGGCGGACGGGUGAGUCACACGUGGAUAACCUACCUAUAAGACUGGGAUAACUUCGGGAAACCGGAGCUAAUACCGGAUAAUAUAUUGAACCGCAUGGUUCAAUAGUGAAAGACGGUUUUGCUGUCACUUAUAGAUGGAUCCGCGCCGCAUUAGCUAGUUGGUAAGGUAACGGCUUACCAAGGCAACGAUGCGUAGCCGACCUGAGAGGGUGAUCGGCCACACUGGAACUGAGACACGGUCCAGACUCCUACGGGAGGCAGCAGUAGGGAAUCUUCCGCAAUGGGCGAAAGCCUGACGGAGCAACGCCGCGUGAGUGAUGAAGGUCUUCGGAUCGUAAAACGCUGUUAUUAGGGAAGAACAAAUGUGUAAGUAACUAUGCACGUCUUGACGGUACCUAAUCAGAAAGCCACGGCUAACUACGUG